rnacentral:tRNA from 1 species
AAAAGUAAAGUACUAUAGUAUAUUUUAGUUACAUUAAAAAGGUCUUUUAAAGUACUUUUA